rnacentral:lncRNA from 1 species
ACGCAUUAAUAGGAGUACGCUGGAUCAAAGGAUGUGAUCUCACUUCAUAGUCAAACAGGUCCUGCAAGCCCAGGUAAUACGGGAAGCAGAAUGGUAAUUAUUCACAGAAGAAAGCAGGUAGUAUACUGUUACAAUACUACAGUAGAAAGUCAGAAGGUCACAAAGCUUGCAGGGUAACUGACACAACUUGAAACUGCUUGGCUUCCUUUAAAAAGAAAUAACAAAAUGGGAGAGAAUCAAGCAAGCUUGCCUAACACAUCUUUGCAAGGUAAGUGCCAAUAGCCUAUGAAAUGUUCCCAGUCAGAAAUUUAAGC